rnacentral:rRNA from 1 species
UACGGAGGGGGCUAGCGUUGUUCGGAAUUACUGGGCGUAAAGCGCGCGUAGGCGGACCUGCAAGUCGGGGGUGAAAUCCUGGAGCUCAACUCCAGAACUGCCUUCGAUACUGGCGAUCUUGAGUCCGGAAGAGGUGAGUGGAACUCCUAGUGUAGAGGUGGAAUUCGUAGAUAUUAGGAAGAACACCAGUGGCGAAGGCGGCUCACUGGUCCGGUACUGACGCUGAGGUGCGAAAGCGUGGGGAGCAAACAGG